rnacentral:rRNA from 1 species
CCUACGGGAGGCAGCAGUGGGGAAUAUUGCACAAUGGGCGCAAGCCUGAUGCAGCCAUGCCGCGUGUAUGAAGAAGGCCUUCGGGUUGUAAAGUACUUUCAGCGAGGAGGAAGGCAUUAAGGUUAAUAACCUUAGUGAUUGACGUUACUCGCAGAAGAAGCACCGGCUAACUCCGUGCCAGCAGCCGCGGUAAUACGGAGGGUGCAAGCGUUAAUCGGAAUUACUGGGCGUAAAGCGCACGCAGGCGGUUUGUUAAGUCAGAUGUGAAAUCCCCGGGCUCAACCUGGGAACUGCAUUUGAAACUGGCAAGCUUGAGUCUUGUAGAGGGGGGUAGAAUUCCAGGUGUAGCGGUGAAAUGCGUAGAGAUCUGGAGGAAUACCGGUGGCGAAGGCGGCCCCCUGGACAAAGACUGACGCUCAGGUGC